ensembl:lincRNA
AUGCUGAGACUUCACCCAGAGAUGGUACCAGGUGAUUUCCCGAGCAUCCUAGGAGCUGGGGUGGGGGCGAGGGGUAGAGGAACUGGGGGAUCCCCGGGAGGGAAUCUGGGACUGGGUCCCCUGCCAUCCCCUCUCAUGGGCAGGGCUGAGGGCAGCUGCAGCCCAUGGGAGGGGGCGGAGGGCUGGGGGGGGGGCCGGGGCAGGCGGGGGGGAGGGGGGGGGGGGGGGGGGCGAUGCCCACUGACCAUCCAGCGGGGCAGACCCUACCCUUCUCAUGGGUCAGGUAGCUUCCUGCUGCCCCCAGCCCAGCCCAGAGCAAGCCUCGGCAGGGCCGAGAGCGGCACAACCUCGCCUGUCGACGAGUCAGCAGGAUGGGCUGCGCCGUUGCUGCACCUCACAGCACACAAGGCACCUCCCUCUCGGGGCCUCGUCACUGUCGCGGCAGCCUCGGGAGGGGCGUGGGGACCCCCAGGGUCAGCAGCGGGUAAGCGGUGGUGGGGUGAGCAGAGUUCACAUCUGAGAACUCCCGAGAGGGCAGGCAGGCGGCGGGCUGCAGGGCCAGCGUGACCCCGGCUGCCCGGCAGUAGGACCCACUGCACCUGGGUGCCAGACACCGCCUGGGUUACUGUCGCCCUGGGGCCUGGGGAGCCGGGGCUUUGGUGAGCCCAAGGCUGAAACUGUCCCUGUGUGAUCCGAGCUGCCUCGUGCAGACAGCAUCUCUGUGAGUGCCUGGCUCGAAGACCAGCUCAGUCCUCCUGGGCCGGGGUCCCAGCAGCCCAUGCCCCUUGGGGAGCCCCGCAGCACCCAGGGGCUCAACUCAGCAGGUGUGUGCUGAAUGAACGAGUGAUCUUUCUGAACCUCACGGCCAACAGCGCCUCUGCUGUACCCACACUCUCUGGCACCCUGCCCCUUCUGAGACAAAGGCCAGACUCUCCAGACUUGUCCAAGGCCCUAUAUGGACACCUGGCCUGGAUGACAUCAGUCACCUCAUCUUCCACCAUGGGCCCCCUUGACCGUGACCCCUCAACUCCAACCAAGAAUGCCAGACCGCCAAACCCCAGGCUCUUUCAUGCCCUGACAACAAGCUGAAAUGAGCUUCUGGGGUCUGCCCAGAACAUUCCUCCUGACCCUCCAAGACCAGCUCAAGGGCCACCUCCCCUGGAAAGCUGUCCCUGACGUUGCAGUUGAUUUGGCCCCUGUGUCCUGGGGUCACGUGGUGACAACAUCUGUUUCAGGAAGAUCCUGCUAAGCUGUGACUAUUGAGGUGUCCACCCCGCUGCUGGAUUUCCAGCUUUGCCAGGGCGGAGUCUAGCAGGGCCUGAUUCCCUUUGGUUCUGGGUACCCAAAAACAGCCGGCACAGUGGACUUCCACGUUCCCUGAACUGUAUGUCACUACUGGGAACAUCAGCUUGAUGGACUGUCAUGCAGCCAUUACCCUAUUACGGGGACUUCCCUGGGGGUCCAGUGGCUAAGACUCCCAUUGCAGGGGGUCUGGGGUUCGACCCCUGGUCAGGGAACUAGAUCCCACACGCCACAACUAAAAGGUACUGCAUGUCGCAAGUAAAAGCUCCCCCACACUGGAGUGAAGAGGAAAGAUCCCACGUGCUGCAACUAAGCCCCGGCGCGGCCAAAUAAGUAAAUAUUUAAAAAAGGGAAAAAAGAGCUAUAUCCAUACCAUCCACUCCACUCUGAGGUUCUGAGUGCCUGCUCUGUGUCAGCCCUGUGCUUGGCAUGGGGGUGGGAGGGACAGAAAGGGGUCCCUCUUUCAAGGGAUUCAGUUUAGAGGAGGAGGGAGACAGACAUAAUUCUUGAGCAACCUGUUAAGUGCCACGACAGAGGGAAGACAGAGCCCCAGGGCCCCCACGUCCAUCUGGGGGUCUGGGGAGGCGGAACGGAAACCAUAGCUCUGUAAAAAUUACAGCCGACAGUGUGUGGACAAGCCUGGAAGGGAACGGAGGAACGGAAACCAUGGCUCUGUAAAAAUUACAGCCGACAGUGCGUGGACAAGCCUGGAAGGGAACAGCGGCUGACUGAGGCUGAUGGAGGAACCGAGGCUGUUGACGCCACAGGGUGGUGGCGUUGUGGGCUCUUUUUCUUUCCUUUAUUGUUGGGAUAAUGCUGUUUGGACAAUAAAUAAAAAUUGGGAGGAAAGAAAUAGCUGUUUGGUGAAUUGAGUAUAAAGCAGAGGAAGGGAGAAAGGGAGAUAGGGGAUAAAUAGGGAGGGAAAGGAAAGAGGGCCCCGGGCAGAGGGAUCCAGAGAGAGGGGCUGGCUCUGGGCUGGGGGGUGGCGAGACGGGUGGGCGAGCACAGGACGUGGGGGAGACAGGCACCAGCAUCCCUGACAGCAACCUGCUCCCAGGGAGAAGCCAGGGAGGUGUCCCAGGGAGGCGGCUGGCCAGGCACCGAAGGACAGCAAAGCACAGGGUAGGCUGCGCUAAGGGGCCGGGAUGGACCUGGCGGAAGGGGUCCCAGCCAGACUGGGGAUUCUGGGCAUGGACCGGCAAGCUGUGGGGCCCACGUGGAGGUGGUGGGGCUCCAGGAAGAGGUUAAGGACUUGCUCAGAACAGCCCUCCAGGAGGAAGGGUUGCGGGACCAGAUGACUGAGCUUGGUGACAAGGUCUGGCCAGGGGAGGCACGGACAGACGGAGGGGGUCCUCCUUAGUGUCCCAGAGAAGGCCAAGAACAGAGGGACUUUCCAGGCUCAGAGGAGGGGGGGUCUGGUCCACCCCCACCCUCACACUAGACCCCACACAACAGGUGCAGACACUUCCUAAGUCCCUCGUGUGUGCCAGGCACCGCCCUGGGCACCUUCCUACUCCUCCAACCUUCCUGUUAACCCUUGGAGGUAGGCUGUUCACGCUCCCAUUUUUACAACAGGGGACACUGAGAUUUGGAGAGGUUAAGUAACUGACUCAAGGUCACAGUCAGCUGGUGAGGGGCAAGGCUGGGCUGGGGGCCCUGCCCGCUCAGGCAGCUUGGCAGAGCAAAGAGAGGGAAGCAAGCGAGGGGGAAGGGGCGCCAGGCAGGGAGGAAGGGGUUACCUUGGCACGCACAGUAGAUGACGGGUAGCUGUUUGUGAAUGAAUGAAUGGAUGGUUGGUUGGAAGGAUGAAUGAAUGAGUGCAGAGAGGAGGGGUGUAAGGGGAGACGCACGUGAGCGAGAACCCGAUUCUCUCUCCCCGCCCCCUCACCCCCCGCGCUGGAGGCUGGCUCUGGGAGCCUCCCUCCUCAGCCUCCCCCCCUCCACUGGGGACCGACACCCCAACCUCCCCAUCCAUUUUAGCCGAGGGCAGGAGGAGGGGGACGCGGAGGCCGAGUCUCCGGGGUUGGGCCCGAGUCCCCGCGCGGCGGCGCAGCCUCCCGCUCCAGGUCCCGCCGGCCAGUGCGCAGCGCGGCGCCCC